AUUUACAUUGCACUUCAUUGUCAGUGUUGUUUUCAUGUUUUUAUGACCUUCUGUGCUCGUGAGCUUUUUCAGGUGUUGACCCUGCUCCCACGGCAGAAAUACAAUUUUGUGGCAGUGCCAGUACUUGCUGAGCUGCAUUCAGCCCCAUGUUGCAGCAUGGCCAUGGAUCACCUUCUGCUGCUCGGACUCCUGGUCCCAACAUGUGGUGCAUUCAUAUAUCCUUGCACUGUAAUACUUGUAAUAACAAUAGCAUUGUCAUUACCUCUUUUUUAACCUUGCUCUAGUAAAGGGUUAUUUUGGAAGGGCUGAUAAAAAUGCUCAAUGGAAGUUGUCUUGUAAAUAAGCAGUCGCACACUAACAAAAUUAAGGUAGAGUUCAGAAAGGCCAGGUAGCACAGAACUUGAGUAAAUCCUGCAGAAGCUGCCUGUUUCGUCUGCUGCCACCACCGUGGCUGGCUGCGAAGCUGAAUAACAGCCUUGGGAGCAAGCCAAGAUGCUAUUCUUAAAGUAAAAAGAAUGAAAAGCAGGCAUGCCAGAAUGCAACAUCUGUUAUUGGCCUCAGUGCCUCAGGCUGAUGUUGCAGUACAGUACAGACUGAAGUGGGGGCUGCAGCUCUCCUCUGCAGGUACAAUGAAGUCCCUUUGCUGCCAAAAGCCCUCUAAGAAACCUUUUGAGUGACAAAGCAUGGUGUCCGGCUGCAUCCUGCCACCAACGGAGAGCAACGGAGAGAGUAAUGCCAUAGUGUGCUGAGUCAUUGCUUCUGGCUCUGUAGCACUGAUGAUGGGUGAUUCAAAAAAAAAAAAAAAAAAAAAAGGCAAUUUUUUAGGACAAAGUUCCACUGUCACAUCAACUUCAAAUGGACACCAAGCAGGCAGUUUUGGGUAGAGCAAAGCAUUCAUGACUGCAUAUAUUCCGAGAAAAUGCAGGGCCUACCAUGACAUGAGUCUGAGUAAGGUUUAGUCCUGGGAAUUCCUAGGUAGGAAGACACCUUUAGAGGUCCUAGGGACAAUGCUGCAGCUCCCUAGGUUGCUUGGGGCUGUCCCCAAGGAUGGAGAUCCACCACCAUUCCUAGGGACACCCCUCUCACGAGGGAUAUCACACCGACCCACGCAACACUUAACACACUCAGGUAAUAAACCAGUAAGCACAACCGUCGACACUUAAAUUUGUGGUCUAUGUCUAGAAGUCUUGCUUAAAUCUGUUCUCCUUUUUGAAAAAUCAUAUACUUGUCACACAGCAAUAAAUUAUGCCCUUGUUGAACUGUGAUUCCCUAAGAGCAAUCAAACCACUAAUGAUGGACAUAUGGUUAUUUUUGGAAGUUGAUUUCCUAUUACUUGGUUUGUUUUCAUUUUUUCUUGAGUGACUUUAACCGUGGAGGUCUGUGGUUUCUUUCCUGGAUUUGAUAACAGGGACAAAAUAGAGACACUUGAAACUUCAGCGUGCUUAGCUACUUGAUUCAACAGACUUUUGAAAAAUUUUCUCACAGAAGGAAUUUUGGGGAAGUAGGAGCUUGCCUAUCAGAUGUAGUUGUGAUAGAGGACAAGAAGGAAUGAAGAGCAGCAAGCAUAAAGAAAAGAAUGCAGAAAAUUCAUACUGAAUCCUGAUCUGACUUCAGAAUUAUUUCCUUGCUUGCUAAAAUCAAGAGUGACUCAGCCCUGUUAUUUGGCUGUGCCACCAAAGGUGCAGGCUAGACUUGCUCUUCAGGAGACCAGUGGGUCUGACUGGAGAUGCUUCCAAAAAGAAUUUGUCUUUAGAGGUGAAACUGGUGCCACUUGGUAAAGAUGCUGUGAUGAUCUGAUCUUACCCCUCUGAACAGCCAUGGAGGAAUGGGAUCUGUACGGGUGAUAUCGAAUGGAGAAAUGGGAUAGGGAACAGAAGAAAGGCAGGUGAUGCUGGAGGGGGCCAAGGGUCCUGAGGAGUUGGUAAGCUGGUCCAGAACCAAAGCAGCAGGUCUGAGGUAGGGAUAAUCUGUAUGUAGCACGGGGGAGGUCACAUCUGAAUCCAGGGGUCAGUUUGGGGCCCCCAGUACAAGAGAGGCGAACUGGAGCAUGCCCAGCACAUGGCCUCAUGAAGCUAGGGGUGGGAAGGAGCCUAGUGUUUUCUUUCAAAAAAAAACGUAAAUGGUGGUUUUUCUUUGUAAGGUAACAGGCUCAGUAUUUUGAAAUGGGUAUAAGGAAAUCCUCCUUGCAAUAUGCGUUACUCUUCAGCAAAAUGCAGGGAACAUCUAUACUCAUAUACCCAAUAAAAAAAAAAUAAUCUUCCAGAGGUAACUGCAAGCAUUUGUAUACAGCUGCAGAAUCAAGAUGCCGCAGACUGACUCAAAGCACACAAGUUUGAGUGACUGAUUUCAUUUAGAAAGUUUCAAAUCCACUUACUUUCCAACUGUGCUGGUUGUGUUCAUUUAUUAACUUCCUUCUCCACCUUAUUUGCUGUGUGUCAGAUGUUCACACCCAGGAAAUGUGCACUUGCAUAACUGAAACUUUUGCAACGUGAAUGUUUAGUGAUAACUUCACCUUCUGUUUUUUUCUAAACUGUGCUUUGCUGUCUCCGUGGUACAUGCAGAUCUAUAGUAAUAGCAUACUGUUAAUUCCUUAGCUGAGUAAAACAGACCCACACUCUUCCUCAGAUAGGUGAUAAAAGCUCUGAAAAAUAGCUGCAUGUAGCAUGGGAAUUGGCUGUUUUCUGUGGGCAUGGGGCAAAUGAAGCAUACUGACCAAAAAUGUGAAGCAACGACAAGCAGCCAGGCCACAGAUAAGAGCCAGGUCUUCUCCUGUUUUGAUUCUUGAAUUCAUUUGUUUUGUUUGAGUGAUUGGCAUACUAAAUAUCAUAGACAAGUGUUCAUCUCAAGACCAUUUAUUGCAUGUCCCAUUAGGAAAAAAAGGAUUAGCAGAAUAUUUUAAUUAAUACUCAUGAAAUAAUUUUGUCAUCUACCCAUAAAUUUCAGAUUAAAGUUUUCUUCAUUUGGUGGGUGCACAUAAAGAAGGAAUGUGCAUUGCACCCUAUAAAAGCAUUGCUCGUUUUGAGCUUUGAUAUGCAACUCCUGCACUCAGGAGCAUGGAUUCAGUCCCCCGUUCCUUAGUACCAGUAUUUCUCUGUGCUUUCACAGCUCCUCACGUCACAAGAACUCAAGUCCAGGCUCUGCAACAUUGUCAAGUUAUGCAUUCACACUCUGCUAGCACAGUCAUCUGGAUCACUUGGGAAACCUCAAACUAAAGACAGACAUUACUUGCAGUUGAACAUAGAUGGGGAAAGCCUAAUUUUGAGCUAAUAAAUUAGCAUUUUUAAGUGCAAGCCUCGUACACUGGAGGGUACAGGGGCUCUGCUUCCACCUCUUGGUGAAGAGGGAGAACAGCUGGAGAACCACAGCACCCUGAGGAGCAGAUGCUUACCUGGAGACGUUGUGCUGUCUGUGGAGAAAGGGGAAUAGUGGGCACAGACCAUGCAGCCAUGGAAUAGGCCAUCCAAAGAGCAAAGGUGGUCUUUAUCCCUCUUCACUGCUUGUCUGGCAAAUGCAACAGUUGCUCUGGUCCUUUGGCAGGGCCAAGGACUCCUCCUGAUGGGGAGGUUGCCCAGGUGCAUCUCAGGGUACCCAGGCUGGAAUUUGCUGUCACCUGUCUGAGUGGGAUUAGUAAAUAAUAGGGGAAGGUAUAAUUUGCCUGGUGAUGUAGGGAAAGAAGAAAUGCCCUGUUGUCUAGGCCAGUAUGAACAUACUGUGGGGGCUACAAUGAGCUACCAGGCAGAGCAACCCCUGCUCCAGCAUCAGAGUUACCAUGAAGCACAUCAUUUUUUCUUACAGAGGCUCAAUGAUGCAUUAUUUUGAGCAGCAUAUAUAGAGACUACCUGAAUGAUGCUGUCAACAUCUGCUACAAGGCUGACAGUGUGGUUUCUUACUGAGCCCUCUAUAAUCCAGGGAGCUGAGCAGAUUUUCUGUCUAUAUCUGCUUGAGUGCACCCUCAGAAAAUCUGCAGAUGAUACCAAGCUGAGUGGUGUGGUUGAUAAGAUGGAAGUAAGGGAUGUCAUCCAAAGGGACCUGAACAGGCUGGAGUAGUGGGGACAUGUGAACCUAAUGAGGUUCAACAAGUCUAAAUGCAGAGUGCUGCACCUGGGCCAGGGCAAUCCCAGAUGUGAAUACAGACAGGAGAAUAACUCAUUGAGACCAGCCCUGCAGGGAAGCACUUGGGGCUUCUGCUGGAUGAAAAGCUUGACAUGAGCUAGCAGUGCACACUUGCAGCCCAGAAGGCCAGCUGCAUCCCACGUUGCAUCAAUAGAGGAGUAGCCAGUAGAUAAGGGAGGUGAUUGUCCCCCUCUGCUCUGCCGUCAUGAUGCCCCACCUGGAGUGCUGUGUCCAGGUCUGGAGCCCCCAGCACAAGAAGGAGGUGGGUCCAGGGGAGGGCCACAAAGAUGAUCAGAGGGCUGGAACACCUCUCCUACGAAGAAAGGCUGCGAGAGCUGGGGCUGUUCAGCCAGAAGAACAGAAGGCUUCAGGGUGACCUCAUUGUAGCUUUUCAGUACGUAAAGGAGGCUUAUAAAAAAGGUGGAGAGCAACUUUUUGCUCGGGCAGAUAAUGAUAGGACAAGGGGGAAUGGUUUUAAACUAAAAGAGGGGAGAUUUAGAUUAGAGGUUGGGAGGAAAUUCUUCCCUCAGAGGGUGGUGAGGCACUGGCACAGGUUGCCCAGAGAGGCUGUGGAUACCCCACCCCUGGAGGAUUUUUAGGCCAGGUUAGAUGAGGCCCUGAGCAACCUGAUCUAGUGGGUGGUGUCCCUGCCUAUGGCAGGGGCUUGGAACCAGAUGGUCUUUGAGGUCCCUUCCAACCGGAGCUAUUGUAUGAUUCUGUAGACCUAACUCAUCUGAGGCAAUUACAGAUCUUGCACAAUGUAAGAACAAAAUUUUUCCCGAUUAAACAUAUGUAUCUGAGUUGUUAUCUAGAGCAUGCAUUUCAUUGCUUUUCAUUUGAUUGUAAUCUCAAAAGAAUAGAUAUAUACGAAGAUAUAAGAUGAGAUGGGUUAGAUUGCCAUCUACCAAGGUGCUGAAACAUGCACUGAUGAGAGAGUUACAUGGACUUUACUGGCUUCUGUAUUAAAUAGUUGUACACACAAAUAUUUCCUCAAAGAGAUGAACUGACAUGCAAGAGUCUUCCUUUUCAAUAUGGAAAGCUACCGUAACAAAAUCCUACAAUGCAAUGAGCAGUCUUGUAUUUACCACACAGUCACGCAUGCUGUCAUCUUUAGAAAAGUGUUGGAGGUUCUAGAAUGAUCCUUAUUCACUGAACUAUGAAAAAAUGUGUUCCUUAAUUUAUGAUAAUAUUUCAAGGAUGGUUUAAUAUGAGUAUUUUACUUUGAGAGCAGCUUGAGUAUUUCUUUCAUAUGUAGCAUACUGAAGACGUUGUCUGAAACCGCAAACAGAAUAGCCCCUGAAAAAAUAUUUGUGCCAUGGCUAAAAAUGUGGAAACAAGAGCUCAUCAGGCCUUCAUUUGCAAUGUUAAGGCUGCAAUGCUACAUUUGGUGCACGAUGAAGAGAUACCACAAUGAAAAACUAUGCGAAGGUUCAGAGGUGGAAUCAGAUACGCAUCAUAGUGGAUGAAGUGACGCUCAGUGUUUUGCAAUUUAUAAUCUGGGUUGGGUGAGAACGAAUUACUGGUGGUAGGUAAAGCUUCUCCAUCCCCAGUGAAAAAAGCACUCUGAAGGCAAGAUGGUCAGUGAGAAGACAGUUUGGUCUUCUCACUGUGGAAUCCCAGGAGAAGGAUUGUAAGCCUGACAGGACCAAUGUCACUUUGCAAAUGAUAAUGGAGCCCAAGGGAUUGUGGAAGUGGGGUCACAAGCUUGGAAGUGAAACUGGAAGUAGGGUCACCAGUGAAAAGAGUUUGGGAACCUCUGCUCUCUGGUCUGUGGUGGUGGUAAGAGCCCUCACAAUGUUCAAAUCUCUUAAAGGGAAUGUCUUAACCACCAGGUCAUGUUACCUUCCAAGCUCAAUAAACUAGAUGUAACCACAAGCCUCAAGAAAGGAAACCAGGAAAGAGAAGAGAGAGUUUUAUCUCAGAUUAGGCAGUAAACCAAAGGUGAAAAAUCCAGAUUCUUAUGGACAAGCUGAAUUGUAGCAAGAAUUUAAGUCUCUGUGUACUUCUCCCAUACAGUUUCUAAGCACAGGCUGCUGCUGAUUCCUACAGGCUUCUAUGAAAAGCUGAAGUUUAAAAAAAUGCAAGUUUUUUCCAGAAACAUUUUGUUGAGAAAAAUCCUCAAAAGUACCUGAAAUCAUAGGUUUGCUAAGAAAAUUUUAGAAAUAUUACAAGAAAAUAUAAAUGUAUUAUUUCCAGCAUGGUGGGACUUACAAGCAUUCAGUGACUGUUUAGUUGAGAGUUUGUUAGCCCGUGACUAUGCACUGACUGCUCAGGUAUUCUGAGCCCUUAUUCCUACAUAUAGGCUGGUGUCCUGGUUAGUGUGGAGAUUUAUGGCCUGCUCUUGUCCUCCUCAUCAUGGGGGCUGCAUAAAUAACUCAUGUGGUCUCACAGUUCUCAUAUUUUAACUUGUUUUAGGAGGAGAAUAUAACUGCUCCCUUCAAAGAAAUCCCAGCUCUUGCUGACGAUAGCUAGCCUUUUCAUAAUGUCAUCAUUUCUCAACUACUCUCAUGACUCCAUGACACACACUACAAGUGUGUGUCAGGGCAUCUGGAUUUUGGAACACCACAGAUAUCAACUUCUUCUGAAUUACCGCUAACUUGAGAAAGGUGUUUUAAAUACAGAGGACCUAAACUGCUACGAAAGAUAGCAUGUUGCUUAGAAAUCAGGGGGAGCUACCUGUUUUCCUUCUUAGGUGAAGAACAGAAAGUUUCAGAAUUUGUUCUGGAUGUGGCUGGAUGUUGUUAGGCGUUGGACUUCAAUCCCAGGGAAAAUCAGCUUUGAGAUAACCAGCUCCACAAAAAUUCAUUUAUUUGGUACAUUUAUUUGGUUUUAACUAUAUAUAUGCAAACCAUAAACUAUUAACUAUAUAUCUAUCUAAAAUCUUCCAUCCUUUUUGUGUCCAUAGCAGAAAGAACAACCUUUAUAGCAGCUGCCAAUGGAAUAAGAUGUGCAGCAGAGGGAACAGCGCAUUCUUCCUGCAACCUGAAGCUUGGCUCUGGUGGUGCUCACUUCAGGUGGCUACAUGUGUGGUGUAGAUGCCGCGAAUGACUCACAGAUGACUGCAAUGCUUAAAACUUAUUACAAGGGGUUGAUCUGAGGUGAACAGAUAAAGGAACGAGAAAUUUUACAUAGCUCCAUGGAUGGGUUUGCCAAUGGCAAGGUAGAACUCGUUGGCCUCCCUCUGGCAAAGCUUAGUUUUACAGCAAAAUAUUCUUAGGAGUUCUGCUAAACUUGUGAAAGCCAAGUGAGGGGUGAUGCCUGAGAGCAACACAAGGUGACCCCUGUAUCCAGCAAACCAGACACGUCUGGAAUGGUGUGUGAAUGCAACCAAACAACCAUGCAAUCUAACACACCGAACUGCUGAGAAAACACCUUCAGAACCAGAAUUUAGCUGGUGCAUCUGGGUCAUCCUAUAGCUGCUCCUACAAGAAUGUGUUUAGAUCUAUGGGAUCUUUGCCUUCAAGCUUGCCCUGUUCUCUGUUGGCUGUAUCUCUUGUGGAGAACCAGAAGAACUUCAGAAGAAAUGGCUAUGAGUUCUUACAGUCCUCAGUAUUAUUUCCAGCUCAUUUCAGAGAUGCAGCUUGCCCAUUCUCAUUCCAUGCUGCAACUAGAAAGGGUGGAUGGAUUCAAGAAAUGCCAAAACAAUGCACAUUUAGUAUCAAAUACAAUUUUUACCCUUUGCCACUUGUCAGCAGCCCAGACACGUAAACAUGGUUGUACCCAUAUGGGUGCUGCAGCAGAAGAGACAGAAGUUCCAGCCAACACUCAUGGAAUUACUUUAACCUGAUGUCAGCAGUACUGAACUGUCAGUGGGUAAUCCCUGUGUCCAUUUGAAAAAUACAAGGAAUUAAAAUGUUGUGAAAGCUCAAGUUUCCCCAGUGUCCUAGAGCAAAAGCUUAGGAGAUUCCAGAAGCUGAAGUAGCCCUAUGUUUCUUGGGAUCAAAAUUCACAUCUGCUUUUAGUGGCUUGGACCUAACCUUAAUGUAAGCAACUGCUUUGUCAUGUUGCACUAGGACUCUAUCUGGAUGGUGUUGCAAUGUCCUUUGGGCUGUGAGAGAAGACAGUGCUUGAAAUGUGCAUGUUUGAGCAAGUUCAAUGCAGCCUGACUUCCUUUCUUGGAUGAAGGCAGAGAUUUGUGGGCUAUAAUAUUGUAGCAACAAACCAAAUUGGUGUAUAGAAACAAGGGCAUGUCCCUAUUCCAGUUGCAUAAAAAUGUCAGAGUGUGGAGAGUAUAUGAAGGUAGAAUGAAGGCCUCAUUUAUUUUCUUUCCUUUAAAGUUUAUUUUGUUAGUGUGUUGUGUUUCUUGCUGCUGAGAAUGAUUUCAUAAUUACAAACAUAUGGUGAAAAUUUCUUCGUAUUGGUAGAGUUGAGAUCUGAACUCAGGUCUCGUCUAGACUGUAUUCCUGUGGCUGCCAAGUGGGUAAAUCUUGUGGCAUAUUUUCUUGGCAUUUUACCACAAGGAGCAAAGAGAAUGGACACCAAUUGUGACCAGAAAGACAUUGAUGUAGCCAAUUUAUUGGGUGAAAUUAUUCUAACCUUUCUUCUGUCAGAAACUGUGGUUACUACUGCUUUUGUGGUUGGGCUCAUGCAGUGUGCCAUGGAGCUGGUAUGCAACGUAAACUUAGUGAUAUGGUUUAGUGGAGGACUUGUUAGUGUUAGGUCAGAGGUUGGACUAGGUAAUCUUGGAGGUCUCGUCCAACCUGAAUGAUUCUGCGAUUCUGUGUGUUCAUCACUGCCAGCAUAUGAUGACCCAGCUGGUCUACUGAUGAUCUCAAAAAACACGGUCUGUUUGUUUACCAGUUUUGCCAGGGAUGGUUUUUCGAGCCAGACCCUAUAGCCAUGGCCUAGACAUUUCCUUCUGACAGAAAGCAGAAUUGAGACUGAUGUAACUACUGGUUUUCAUGAGCAGAGGCUUUAAAACAAAUUGUCAGAAGUUACAAAAUGUGUUGUAGAACUGACAGUUCAUGUUUUACUUAUUAAUGUUGUUCCAAAUGUAAAACUGGAGAGUACUUCAACAUCAUUGUUACAUUGCUCUUCCCCAUGAGGAAAAAUGCCUUUGGUCUGCUGGGAAUGACAAACAAUACUGGUGGAAGGAAAAUCAACAAGGCUAAAAUCAAAAUGAGUGUAUUUAUAAUUGCUUUUACCAUGGUCCCUGGAAAGCUCCUGUUGCAAAUGCAGGGUCCUGUAGGGUUAGAUUCUAUGCAGAAAUAGAACAGAGCAUAAUCCCAGUCCCUGAAGGGUUUGAGCUAUGUAGAACUGUUCCACUGAACAGAUUGACACCAACAUGCUUGAUGAGGAGGUUACAGGCAUACUUCUACUGUUUCUAAUUGAAAAAAAAAAAAGAUUUUUUUUUUUCAAUUGCAAAUUAUAUUUCUUCCAUCUUGUCAACGGCUCUUGGAUGGCCACUGUGGAAGGAUCCCUUUUGUAAGACAAAAAGGCUAUAAAAGUAAUAGAAAUGAAUGUCUGCAGCUGAAGAGCUUGGCUGAGACUUGAAAAGUUUGCUUUGGGUAGGAUCCAGGUCCUGCUGAGGUCUACAUGAGUUUUGCCUCAGUGGGGCCAAGCUUUCACCCUUGGAGACCAUGUCCUGAGGAAGAAUUUAGUCUAAAAUAAUUUUCAAAACUUGCUUGACUCACAUCCAAGUGUAGGUGUUUUUGUUUGUUUGUUUGUUUUGUUUUGUUUUGUUUUGUUUUGACUGAGUGGUGUUGCAUUUCUGGUUGACUCAGAUUGCUCCCCUUAGCAUCUUCCAGCAGUGAGCUCUCAAGGAAUUUCAAGCACAAGAGAGGAUCAGAUGUGAAUGAGACUGCUGCUGGGUUCUUAAACCAACAGCUUCUACAGGCAUGGUGCCUACUUAAGCAAUGUAUUUUUGGUGGGAGAUGGGACCUUCGAGCCUCAGCACAUGAGCACACCACACUGAGGUCAUGGCCAUGACCUGGAGCCUGGCUGAGGGUAUGGCUGAGGAUCCUGGCCAUCUUUGGGAGAUCCAUCCCUCCCUUCUACAGAUGCUUCUGUGGGUGAAGCAACUUUUUGAAAGAGAAACAAAUAGUUAAAAUAGUAAAUAGUAAAAAGCAUUUUGAUUCCUACCACACAUGCAUGCUCUUCUUUAUCAUUUCCCCUAUUCCCUGGACAUUUUUCUUGUAGGUCCCAGAGACCACAUUGGAAGUAACUGCUAUCAAAGUGAGGUGUAUGCUGUUCUUCUUUUUCUGCAUAGAGGAAGGACAACACACUUGAAUAUUCAGUCUCAGGUUGGGAACAGGAAAUCAAAGAGACGUUCCCUUGUGAAGACGGAUGUAAUGAGCAAGGCAUUGUGCAUGAGUGAUUUCUGUUUUACAUCCUGAUUCAAGCUAAACAUUUAAAGAUGAAGCCCAGAGUUCAAAGACUGAAGGAUGGAAAAAUUAAUUGUGUGGAAGUAUAAGUAAGUAUUACAUUUCAGAAAACUCAUGUUAUUAGGUUUCUCAGUAAAGAAAAAUAAAAAAGAUACCUCACAUAUCUCACAUUCGAUCAUUUAUGAACUGAAUCAGUAAGCAAUACUGACAAGACAAAAGUCACUUGCACCAAAAUGCUGUAUAAGCAAAGAAACGCAUGCAAUUUUGCAGUGUGUUCACAGCAUAUUUUGCCAGCAGAAAAGGGUCUCAGUCUUCUGGGUGAUUCACUUGCUGCAAUUUGGCUUCACUUCAGGGGUGAGGGUUUCAGAAUUACUCACAGCCAUGCUAACGAAUCGGAAGUCAUAUAACGAAACAUGUUGCAGCUUUGCCCCCUUUGAACCCACAGACGUUCUGAGCAGAUGACUUAAAAAUGAGACCUUGCCACUAUUUUUUUUUCCAGCUUGAUUCAAGUUUCAUACCAGUUUUGCACUAGUCCUUACUUUAAACUUAUUUGUUUGCUCAUGGCUGAUAUGAACGAUGACUCAAUAAAACAAUCUCAGUGCUUCACUGUGAAGAGACAAGUGGGCUUUAAUUAUUGAUGAUACAGUGCUCUUAGUCACUACCCAAGCCUUGCCAGCAGCCACAGAGAUUUUUCAAUAAUACCUUAAAGCAGAGUGUUGGGGGCAUGGCCUGAAUGGGACACAGCAGAGCAAACCAGAGGGAAGCGUUUUCUCUAGGGCAGUGCUGCUCAAACUUCUAACAGGUGUAACUCCCUGACGCAUUUGGAUAAUGCUUUCAGACAUGUGGUCCGUGUUUUUUUUUUUUUUUGUUGUUGUUGUUUUUUGUGUGUGUGUGUUUUUUUUUUUUUUUUUGGGGGGUGGUCCUUUGAGGAACCAGGAGUUGAACUCGAUGAUCCUUGUGGGUCCCUUCCAACUCAGGAUAUUUUAUGAUUCCCAUUUAAGUCUACAGAUUCUUUUCCCUCCCUACCUUGACUUUCUACCUAAGGAAGAAGUAUGGUAAAUGAGAAGGACAUGCAUUUGUUGGUAGGAGAUGGGAAAUAGUGAUGAUCCUGUCCUGAACUGCCUGGCUGGUGUGAACACUUGCAGCUGGGAACUUCUCACUGCUUUGCUGCAGAGGAGUUUGGUUUUUGGCCAAACCCGAGUACUAGAAACACAUCUCCAAGAGAUCUUACUCUCAAGGGAACAUCAUCAUUGAGGUCAUCAUCGUUGCAGUGGGAGAAAACAGUGGAAAACCAUUACAUUCAAUUUGCUCUGACUGUACAGAAAUGCGUUCCUCAAUGUGCUUUUAGUUCAUCUUUUCCGUAUGUACUUAGCUAGUUCUGACUUUUACAGUCCUGAGACAACUACAGAGAGCCAAGUGGUACUACUUUUUUAUGACCUUGAGUGUUUUCAGUACAAGCUCAAUGCACAUUUGUUGUUAGAACUGCAUAUAUAUGUGUGGAAACAUGCUGCCUUUCCUGAAACUAGACUCUAACACAAGAGAGCAGAAAAACAAAACAAAACAAAACAAAAAA